rnacentral:rRNA from 1 species
UGGAGGGCAAGUCUGGUGCCAGCAGCCGCGGUAAUUCCAGCUCCAAUAGCGUAUAUUAAAGUUGUUGCAGUUAAAAAGCUCGUAGUUGAAUUUCGGGAUCAAUUUAUUGGUCGUGCCAACGGUACGCACUGGUACAAUUGGUUUCUCCCUUCUGACGAAGCAUGAUGUCAUUAAUUUGAUGUCGUGGGGAAUCAGGACUGUUACUUUGAAAAAAUUAGAGUGUUUAAAGCAGGCUUUGGCUUGAAUACAUUAGCAUGGAAUAAUGAAAUAGGACGUUUGAUCUUAUUUCGUUGGUUUCUAAGAUCGACGUAAUGAUUAAUAGGGAUAGUUGGGGGCAUUAGUAUUCAAUUGUCAGAGGUGAAAUUCUUGGAUUUAUUGAAGACUAACUACUGCGAAAGCAUUUGCCAAGGAUGUUUUCAUUAAUCAAGAACGAAAGUUAGGGGAUCGAAGACGAUCAGAUACCGUCGUAGUCUUAACCAUAAACUAUGCCGACUAGGGAUCGGAUGAUGUUAAUUUUUUAAUGACUCAUUCGGCGCCUUACGGGAAAC